rnacentral:rRNA from 1 species
GACGAACGCUGGCGGCGUGCUUAACACAUGCAAGUCGAACGGAAAGGCACUGCUUCUGUGAGGUGCUCGAGUGUCGAACGUGUGAGUAACACGUGAGUAACCUGUCCUUGACUUUGGGAUAACUUCUGGAAACUGGGUCUAAUACCGGAUAGGAACUCCUUCUGCAUGGUGGGGGUUGGAAAGUUUCGGCGGUUGGUUAUGGACUCGCGGCUUAUCAGCUUGUUGGUGGGGUAGUGGCUUACCAAGGCUUUGACGGGUAGCCGACCUGAGAGGGUGACCGGACACAUUGGAACGGAGAUACGGCACAGACUCCUACGGGAGGGAGGAGAGGGGAAGGUUGCACAAUGGGAGGAAGCCUGAUGCAGCAACGCCGCGUGCGGGAUGACGGCCUUCGGGUUGUAAACCGCUUUCGCGUGUGACGAAGAGUGAGUGACGGUAAUAGAUAAAGAAGCACCGGCUAAAUACGUG